GGUUGUAACUUGUGGCUAAGGUAGGCUACUGGAUGUCCUCCUCCAUCGUCUGCCACUUGGCUCAGCACCGCUCGUAACCCAAACAUGGAGACAUCUGUAUGGACAACAAAACAUUUUAAAGGGUCAGGAGAGGCUAGUACUGGGGCUUGGGUUAGAGCUAUCGUUAAAUGUUAGAAGGUUGCAUCACAUUCGGAGGACCUGUCGGGAGAGGUUUUUCUUGGUCAGGUUAGUUAAG